AUAAUAAUAAGUAAUAAUAAAAAAUUUAAAAAAAAAAUAAUAAUAAUAAUAAUAAUUAUUAUUAUUAUUAUUAUUAUAAUAAUAAUAAUAAUAAUAAUAAUAAAUAAUAAUAAUAAUAAUAAAAAUAAAAAUUUAUAAAAAAAUAUAAUCUUUUAAAAUUUUUGGAGGUCAACAGGCAUAGUCAACACCGGAAAUUACACAAAAACCACCGAAAAUUGAAUUAAGGUGUCUAUUUUAAAAAAAAAAAAGUCUCUUAAAAGGUGUUUUUUUACAAAAAAAAAUUAUAAAAGGUGUUUCUUUACAAAAAAGGGGUUUUAAAAGGUGUUUCUUUGCAAAUUUCUCUUAUUAUAAAUAUUUGAUGAAUUAUGUGGAUUAUUCAAUUUUGAGAUUAAUUGGACAUUUAAUGGUUGAUAUUGAUUACUGAGGGAUAUAUGUUGAUGUUUACUUGAAUGAACGACUUGUUGAAUUUGUUAAAUACUACGGAUAUAUGUUGAUGUUGAUUACGUGGGAUGUAAUGAAUGAAUGUUGGAGUUGAUUACUUGGGAUAUAUACUUGAUGUUGAAUGAAUUUAGUAAAUGAUUGAAUGUUAAAUGUUGAUGUUUACUUGAAUAAAUAACUUGUUUAAUUUGUUAAAUACUUUGGAUAUAUGUUGAUGUUGAUUACUUGGGAUAUAAUGAAUGAAUGUUGGAGUUGAUUACUUGGGAUAUAUACUUGAUGUUGAAUGAAUGUAGUAAAUGACUGAAUGUUAAAUGUUGAAUUAUGAAUUGAAUUAUCAAAAUGAAAAGUAAACACAUUAAACUAACAGGAUGGAGAAUCCUGGUCCUAUUGAUCCUUCCGUGUUAGUUUUACAUCCUACCCAUCGUUCACGAUUCAUAUGGACCAGACAACUAGAGUCCGACACAUUGCUUCAGACUCUACACCACCCUUUGGUGGUAAUGAGAUGACCCGUAGACGAUAGGGUUUUGAGAUACGUGCGCAAAGCGGGUUUAUACGGUAUUCACCGAGUGGGUCAGAUCCCAUUAGAUCGAGGGAUGAUUACCGCUCUAGUAGAGCGAUGAAGACCUGAGACGCUGUCGGUGGGUGAAGCGACCAUUACACUGCGUGAUGUUGCUAUACGUAUCGACUUACCGGUGAGUGGGAGGGCAAUCACCGGCCCUAGUUCGAGCCAUACAAAAGAGCUAAUACAUAGGAUGUUCGGGGUCCUACCGCCAGACGAAGCGAUGAUUGGGUCUUCGGUGAAGGUGACAUGGAUGCUUAGCACCUUUGGAAAUUUACCAGGCCCGACGCUGAGGAUGCAGCAGUAGAGAGUUAUGCUCGCAUUUACUGUUGGGUACUUAAUUCCGGCUAUUUGUUUGUCGACAAAUCCGGAAACGAGAUGCAAGGGAUCUAUUUAGAGCUCCUUGACCAAGACUGGGCUGACAUUGCGUCCUAAGUUAGGCCAAUGCCGCACUUGCUUUCCUCUACAAACUUUUGUGUCGAGCCGCCUUGAUCAAGAGAGGGAAACCAGCAAGUGACAUUGCGGGUCCAUUGGUUAUUCUACAGUUGGAUAUGGGAGCAUAUUACUUUUUGAACUCUUGCUGUCUCAACGCAACGACGUAGGGGAGAGGACGGGCAGCCUAUUCUCCUCCAUAUUGAGCCGGAGGAUCCCGCGGAGGACGAGCCAUAUGGAUAGAGAUGGCUCGUGCCUCGAUUGACACAUUUGAACACCUCACGAGGUGUACAUGUCUUUCGCGAUUCACUUGAUCGCAUGGCUGGUGCACAGAUGAUAUGGGACCCAUAUCCCCCAUAUAAGGGUGACGAAGAUAAGUGGCGUGUUCGAACGCCUAUGAUCUUUUUUGACGUGGUUGAAUACCACUACCCUGAACGGGUCAUGUGUCAGUACAGUUUGCGCCAGACGAGGCUUGAUCCACCAGAAGAUCACUGCAUGCUCCACGAGGUGGAUCAUAGGGGGAAGCCACAAUGAACUGAGCUGUGUAUCACCGGGGAUACAUUGAGGGGUGGGAUGGAAGUGAAGAUUACGUAGUUUAGGGGGACGAGAUUGGUGAACCGAUGGAUUUCCACGAUGACUGUCUCAUUUGGUAUCGUGGAAUCACCAGACGGUUCAUCAACCAAGGAUAUAACCAGAGCGGCCACUCCCUCUGAACUACAUGCCCUCUGGCAUGCCAUUACAUGUUCUGAUGUAAUACGAGCUAAGCAUUUGUGACUACAUGCACUCACACCGACAUGUAUGUCAUGAACAGUCAAACGAAGUGGUCAGGAGGUGCGAUAGUGUAAUGGUAGGCCUUGGAUGUGAGCAUCUACUUCAACCAUUACCGCAGGACGAUGUUCCUAGUUCAACAACACAAGCAGAAUCUCCGGAGAUAUCAACUGAUCAUCAAUCGUCAUAUACACUUAGUGUACAUCCAAUGGCUCCUAGACCCUCUCAAGGCGAGUGUUCUAAUGUAUCUCCUAUUCAUCCCACUAACUUUAGGCUUCAUCAACAAUAAAAUAGUGAGGGUACACCUCUAGUUUAUCCUAGUCUAGACACUAUUUAUGAGGACGAUACACCCACUACUGAUUCUUAGACUGUGUAUAACAUUGUAUAGAAUUGUAUAUACAUGUAUAUAUGUAAUGUUACAUGCAUUGUAUAACUUUACGGUGCACGACAUGUAUAUAUUUGUAUAUAUAUGUAAUGUUAUAUAAUUUGGGUGCUUGAAUGAGAAGCGUGAUGACAAUUGAUAUAUCAAUUUUAUUUUAGUGCGGGUACGUAUAUAAGGUGUUGUAGAGCAAAAACAAAAAAUAAAUAAAUCAACACAACAAAGUAAAACGCUGUAAGCAUCAGCGUUUUCUAAGUUUCCCUGUAAACCUGCAAUCAAAUAAAAAAAAAUAAA